rnacentral:rRNA from 1 species
AGUGAACGCUGGCGGUAGGCCUAACACAUGCAAGUCGAACGGCAGCACAGUAAGAGCUUGCUCUUACGGGUGGCGAGUGGCGGACGGGUGAGGAAUACAUCGGAAUCUACUUUUUCGUGGGGGAUAACGUAGGGAAACUUACGCUAAUACCGCAUACGACCUACGGGUGAAAGCAGGGGAUCUUCGGACCUUGUGCGAUUGAAUGAGCCGAUGUCGGAUUAGCUAGUUGGCGGGGUAAAGGCCCACCAAGGCGACGAUCCGUAGCUGGUCUGAGAGGAUGAUCCGCCACACUGGAACUGAGACACGGACCAGAAUCCUACGGGAGGCAGCGGUGAGAAAUAUUGGAGAAGGGGCGGAAGCCUAAUCCAGCCAUACGGCGUGGGUGAAGAAGGCCUUCGGGUUGUAAAGCCCUUUUGUUGGGAAAGAAAAGCAGCAGGUUAAUACCCCGCUGUUCUGACGGUACCCAAAGAAUAAGCACCGGCUAACUUCGU